UACGUAGGGUGCAAGCGUUGUCCGGAAUUAUUGGGCGUAAAGCGCGUGUAGGCGGCUCGGUAAGUCUGCUGUGAAAGUCCAAGGCUCAACCUUGGAAAGCCGGUGGAUACUGUCGAGCUCGAGUCCGGAAGAGGCGAGUGGAAUUCCUGGUGUAGCGGUGAAAUGCGCAGAUAUCAGGAGGAACACCAAUGGCGAAGGCAGCUCGCUGGGACGGUACUGACGCUGAGACGCGAAAGCGUGGGGAGCAAACAGG
rnacentral:rRNA from 1 species